AUGGCGGAAGCUCACGCGCGAAACAACCAAUACCAGCUCCGUUCUAAUUCCGGUCUGGUCCUGACGUCCGACUCUCGAUCACGUGACACUCACGCGCCAAGCGGCGAGGCUGAGUCUCUCCGCGGCAGAAUCGACCCCAAUCACUUCGGUGAUAGGGCUCACACCGCAAGGCCGAAGCGUCACCGCCGCGACCCUACUCCGGAACCCGCUUUGAUUUACGGUUCGACCAAACGGUGUCGUUUUUCGGAAGAGAGCGUGCUGACUACGAUGGAGGAAGACGGCGCCGUUUACAGGCCGAAGACGAAGGAGACUCGGGCUGCGUACGAGGCCUUGCUUCACCUGAUCCGGCAGCGGUUGGGAGACCAGCCGGCGAGCGUUGUGCACGGCGCCGCCGACGAGGUUCUGGCCGUGGUUAAAGGUAAGAGCUUUGAUAAGAGAAAAGAGAUUGAGAAUUUGUUGAAUUCAGUUGGUGAUGAUUUCUUUGAUCAGUUUGUUCAGAUUGGGAAGCUCAUCACCGAUUACGGUGGUGAUGAUGACGUGGCUGGUUGUGAUGAUGUUGAUUUUGAUGUCGGAGUUUCGGUUGAUUUCGAAGAAGAGGAGGAGGAUGACAAUGGUGUAGGUAUGGUUGUGGAGGAGGAGGAUGAGGAGGAGGAGGAGCAAAAGGAGUUGUCGGUGGGCGGUGGUGCCCCGAUGAGUGUUGAUGGUGAUGAUGUGAUGGUGGGAAUGUGAAUGUUCAUGACAUUGAUGCUUACUGGGUGCAGAGGAAGAUAUACGAGGCUUAUGAGAGAAAGAUUGAGCCACAAGAAUGCCAGAAGCUAGCCGAAGAGGUGGUUGGUAUACUCGGUGAAGGUGAUGCUGGGGAUGUGGAGUCGAGGCUGUUGGAGAAGCUCCGGUUUGAGAAGUUUGGGCUUGUUAAGUUUUUGCUGCUGAAUAGGGUGAAGAUUGUGUGGUGUACUCGUUUGGCUAGAGCUGGAGGUGGAGAUGAGAGGAACAUAAUCGAGAAGGAGAUCUUGCGUUUGGGUCCUGAUUCGGCUGCAAUUGUGGAGGAGCUGUGUUUGACGAGGGCUAGUGUGAAAGAGAGGGGGAAGAGUAGGGAGAUGAGUAUUAAAGCAGAGGCUCACAAGUUAAAGAAGGCUGAGGUUGUUGACGGGGAUGAAAAAAGUGGUGAUUGGUGGAGGAACCAGGAUCAGCUGCUUGAUCUCGACAGCCUUGCACAAGAACAAAGUAGAAGACUGUUGGCGCCAAGCCAGUUUGAACUUCCAGAAGGGUCUUACAGACAGUCAAGGAAGGGAUAUGAAGAAAUCCGUGUGCCAGCAUUGAAGCCUAGACCUUUUGACUCUGAUGAGAAACUUGUGCAAGUGUCUGCCAUGCCAGAGUGGGCUCAACCAGCUUUCAGAGGAAUGACUCAGUUGAAUAGGGUACAAAGUCGAGUCUAUACGACUGCCCUUGAAGCAGCGGACAAUAUUCUCUUAUGUGCUCCUACCGGGGCAGGGAAAACUAAUGUUGCAGUGCUCACUAUACUUCAGCAGUUGGGGCUGCACAUGAAUUGGGAGGAUGGUUCAAUAGAUCACAGUAAGUACAAGGUUGUAUAUAUUGCGCCCAUGAAAGCUCUUGUUGCUGAAGUUGUUGGAAAUCUGUCUAAUCAUUUGCAGGACUAUGGUGUCACGGUAAGGGAGCUAAGUGGUGACAACACACUGACUCGCCAACAAAUUGAAAAGACUCAAAUUAUCGUUUCAACUCCUGAAAAGUGGGACAUCGUUACUAGAAAGUCUGGAGAUUAUAUUUGUACAGAACGGGUCAAGCUUCUCAUCAUUGACGAAAUUCAUCUUCUCCAUGAUAGUAGAGGCCCGGUUCUUGAAAGUAUAGUUGCACGAACUGUCAGGCAGAUUGAGACCAGGAAAGAGCAUGUCCGCCUGGUGGGAUUAUCUGCUACACUCCCUAACUAUGAAGAUGUGGCAUCGUUCUUGCGUGUUGAUAAGAAGGGUUUGUUUUAUUUUGACAAUAGUUUCAGACCUAUCCCUCUUUCACAACAGUAUAUUGGAAUUACUGCAAGGAAGUCAUGGCAGAAGUACCAGUUGAUGAAGCAACUCUGCAGUGAAAAGGUGAUGGCUGUUGCCGGAAAACAUCAAGUUCUCGUUUUUGUGCACUCAAGGAAAGAAACAGUGAAAACAGCUGGUGAUAUAAGAGAUGCUGCACUUGCUAAUGAUACCCUUAGUAGUUUUCUGAAAGAGGACAGUGCUAGCUGCGAAAUCAUUCGUAGUGAAUUGGUCAAAAUCAAGAGUAACGAUCUCAAAAGUCUUUUACCGUAUGGUUUUGCCAUUCAUCAUGCUGGUUUGGACAGGGUGGACCGUCAACUGGUCGAGGAUCUCUUUGCUAAAGGGCAUGUACAAGUUUUGGUUUCCACCGCAACGCUUGCUUGGGGUGUGAAUCUGCCAGCUCACACCGUGAUUAUCAAAGGGACCGAAAUCUAUGAUCCAGAAAAGGGACAAUGGACUGAACUAAGUCCCCUUGAUGUUAUGCAGAUGUUGGGUCGUGCAGGAAGACCUCAGUAUGAUUCGCAUGGAGAAGGAAUUAUCAUUACUGGCCACAAGGAACUGCAUCGCUAUCUCUCUUUAAUGAACCAACAACUUCCCAUUGAAAGUCAAUUUCUGUCCAAGUUGGCUGAUCAAUUGAAUGCAGAAAUCGUUCUUGGAACUGUUCAGAAUGCUAGAGAAGCUUCUCAUUGGUUGACAUACACUUAUAUGUAUGUUCGCAUGCUAAAUAAUCCUACCCUCUAUGGCUUGGAAGAUGAUGUUCUGACAAAAUAUAGUAAGUUGGAAGAGAGGCGAGCUGAUUUGAUCCAUUCCGCUGCAACCAUCUUGGAGAAGAACAAUAUGAUCAAGUAUGAUAGGAAAAGUGGAUACUUCCAGGUUACAGAAUUGGGUCGCAUUGCCAGUCAUUAUUAUUUAACACAUGGAACAGUAUCCACAUAUAAUCAGCAUCUAAAGCCAACAAUGGGGGACAGUGAUCUUUGUCGGUUGUUCUCCCUCAGUGAAGAAUUCAAGUUUGUAACUGUGCGGCAGGAUGAAAAGAUAGAACUAGCGAAACUUUUGGACCGCGUUCCAAUUGUGGUGAAGGAAAACCUAGAUGAUCCCAGUGCCAAGAUUAACGUUUUGCUGCAAUCCUAUAUUUCACAGCUGAAGCUUGAAGGUUUUUCAUUGGCAUCUGAUAUGAUUUAUAUUACUCAGAGUGCAGGGCGCCUUCUACGAGCUCUUUUUGAGAUUGCCUUGAAACGAGGAUGGGCUGAAGUGGCAGAGAAGGCUUUGAACUUGUGUAAAAUGGUCAGCAGGAGGAUGUGGACUGUCCAAACACCCUUUCGCCAAUUCAAUGGGUUGAUAACAAAUGAUAUUUUGAUGAAGUUGGAGAAGAAGGAUUUAGCCUGGGAAAGGUAUUAUGACCUCUCUUCACUGGAGCUAGGGGAAUUUAUUCAUUUCCCUACCUUUGGCAGAACACUUCAUAAAUUGGUCCACCAGUUCCCUAAAUUAAACCUUGCAGCCCAUGUGCAGCCUAUUACUCACACGGUAUUGAAAUUUGAGCUCAGUAUAACACCGGAUUUUCAAUGGGAGGACAAAGUUCAUGGAUAUGUGGAGCCAUUUUGGGUAAUAGUUGAGAAUAAUGAUCGAGAGCAUAUUCUUCAUCAUGAAUAUUUUCUGUUGAAAAAACAGUCUAUGGAUGAAGAUCAUACUUUGAUCUUUACGGUGCCAAUUUAUGAACCUCUUCCACCUCAGUAUUUUAUCCGUGUUGUGUCUGAUCGGUGGCUUAGGUCCGAGACUGUUUUACCUGUUUUAUUCAAGGACCUUGUCUUACCUGGUAAGUGUCAUCCACCGACUGAAUUAUUGGACUUGCAACCACUUCCUGUGACUGCAUUGAAGAAUCCGUUAUACGAAACCCUGUAUGAUCAAGAUCUUAUGCAUUUCAAUUCUGUCCAGACUCAGGUCUUCACUGCUUUGUAUAAUUCAGAUGACAACAUUUUAGUUGCUGCACCAACAGGAAACGGAAAGACCAUAUGCACAGAGUUUUCGAUAUUGAGGAAUCAUCAAAAGAGUACUGAACCUGAAGGUUGUGUCAUGCGUGUUGUGUACAUUGCACCUUUUGAUGCAAUUGCCGAGGUAACUUAUGUUGACUGGAAGAAGAAAUUCGGAGAUGGUCUCAAACUGCAGGUUGUAAAAUUAACUGGGCAAACAACCAUGGACUUCAAACUGAUUGAGCAAGGUCAUAUUGUCAUCAGCACUCCAGAGAAGUGGGAGUAUUUAUCCCGUCGCUGGAAACAGAGAAAGAAUAUUCAACUGGUCAGUCUUUUCAUUUUGGAUGAACUCCACUUGAUUAGUGGUGAGGUCGGACCGAUCAUUGAGACGAUAGUCAGUAGGAUGAGAUUAAUUGCAAGUGAACCUGAGAACAAAAUUCGAUUUGUGGCUCUUUCAAGUUCUGUUGCAGAUGCAGAGGACCUUAGAGAAUGGCUGGGAGAUGCCCGCCUUUUCAAUUUUUCUCCAGCUGUGCGUCAAGUGCCUUUGGAUAUAGACAUUCAGGGGGUUGAUUUAGUGAACUCUUUUGCGAGGCUGGAAGCUAUGGUGAAUGCAACAAAAACUGCAAUUGUUCAACAUGCCAAGAAAGGGAAACAAGCUCUUGUGUACGUUCCUACAGUGAAGCAUGUCCGAUUAACUGCUAAGAAUCUGGUGACGUACUCAAAUUCUGACACUGCCGAGAAUUUGUCAUUUUUAUUGCAGUUUUCAGAAGAUAUUGGAAAAGUUGGUGAUGAAAACUUGCGCAGCAAUUUGAGAUGUGGGGUGGGCUACUUGCAUGAGGGAUUACCCAGUGAGGAUCAACGAGCUGUGACCAAGCUUUUUAAAGAUGGAUCAAUCCAAGUGUGUGUUGUGAGCAGUUCAAUGUGUUGGGGAGUGCAGUUGUCAGCCCAUUUGGUGGUUGUGAUGGGAACCCAGUAUUAUGAUGGUACUGAUUUACCUGUUACUGAUCUGUUGCAUAUGAUGGGUCAUGCCAAUCAAUCGCAGCUAAAUGAUUCUGGGAAAUGUAUAAUCCUUUGUCAAACGCCUCGUAAAGAAUACUACAGGAAGUUCUUGUAUGAAGCAUUCCCUGUUGAAAGCCAUUUGCACCAUUACCUACAUGAUGUCAUAAAUGCUGAAGUUGUUGCUGGUAUUAUUGAAACAAAGCAAGACACUGUGGAUUACCUUACUUGGACCUUCUUGUAUAGGAGGCUGUCAAAAAAUCCCAACUAUUAUACACUCCGGGGAGUUACUCCCCGACAUCUUUCUGUCUACCUCUCAAUGCUUGCGGAAACUACGAUUGAUGAUUUGAAAAGAAGCGGGUGUCUUACCAUCGAAAAUGACGUGGAACUUUUUGCUUCGAACCUUGGCUUCAUAGCAUCGUAUUAUUACGCCAAGUGUACUACCAUAGAGCGUUUCAGUUCUUCCUUAACUUCCAAAACAACAGUGAAGGGUCUUCUACAGAUUCUAGCUCAAGCUUCAGAGUUUUCAGAACUUCCUAUACGACCAGGGGAGGAAGAUGUGGUCCGAAGGUUAGCUAACCAUCAGAGGUUUUCCUUUGAGAAUCCGAAAUACACAGACCCUCAUGUUAAAGCACUUGCUCUGCUUCAGGCCCAUUUCUCUAGACAACCUGUGGGUAUGGAGCUGGCUUUGGACCAACAAGUGGUGCUGACAAGUGCAAGUAGGUUAAUUCAUGCAAUGGUUGAUGUGUGUUCCUGCAAUGGGUGGCUAAGAGUUGCUCUCCUAGUGAUGGAAGUCAGCCAGAUGUUAAAGCAGGGAUUGUGGAGGGGUGACUCAGAGCUUCUACAAGUUCCUCACUUCACAAAGGAGUUGGCAAAGAGAUGCCAAGAAAAUCCUGGAAAGAGUGUGCAAACCGUAUCUGAUUUGAAGGAGAUGAAGGACGAUAUGAGGCGUGAACUCCUCCAGUUGCCAGAGACAGAGUUGAUGGCUGUUGAACAUUUUUGCAAACGAUUAUUUCCAGACAUAGUGAUAGAUUAUGAGGUGCUGCAGAGUGAGAAUGUAAGGGCUGGAGAAGAGUUCACUAUGGAAGUGACUCUUGAGUUUAGGCAUGAGGUGAGAACAGCGCAGCUGGGCUGUGAUGAGGCUAAGAGGUACCCCACGGCCAUGGACAGAGAAGACUGUUGUUGGGUUGUUGUGACCGAUACCGAUAAGCUUGACUCAAUUGUCGCUAUGAAGAGAGUUUCCCAUGUUAAGAAGUUGACGAAAGUCCCGCUUACAAUUGCCGCUCCUGCAGAAGCUGGAACGAAGGCAAAUUAUAAACUGUUUCUGAUGUGUGAUUCCUAUAUGGGAUGUGAUCAGGAAUCUGACUUGAUUCCUGUUGAAAUAAAGUAGUCUGAUCGAAGCAUCACUUGAAAACUUCUCUGAUGAGCCAGGGAGGAAGCAGACUCGCUUUG